rnacentral:rRNA from 1 species
GUGGGGAAUAUUCCGCAAUGGACGAAAGUCUGACGGAGCAACGCCGCGUGAGUGAUGAAGGUUUUCGGACUGUAAAGCUCUGUUGUUUAGGACGAAAGUGCCUGUUGCAAAUAGUUACAGGUAUUGACGGUACUGAACGAGGAAGCCACGGCUAACUACGUGCCAGCAGCCGCGGUAAUACGUAGGUGGCAAGCGUUGUCCGGAAUUAUUGGGCGUAAAGAGCAUGUAGGCGGGAAUCUAAGUCUGUUGUGAAAAUGCGGGGCUCAACCCCGUAUUGCGAUGGAAACUGGGUGUCUUGAGUGCAGGAGAGGAAAGGGGAAUUCCCAGUGUAGCGGUGAAAUGCGUAGAUAUUGGGAGGAACACCAGUGGCGAAGGCGAGUCUCUGGACAAGACCUGACGCUGAGGCACGAAGGCCAGGGGAUCAAACGGGAUUAGAAACCCGUGUAGUCC